AUGUGUGUUCCAAAAGAUCAAGGAGGUAUGGGCUUCAGGGAUUUACAUUGUUUCAACCUGGCUUUGUUGGCCAAACAACCGUGGCGUCUUCUAGAUAACCCAGAUUCUUUAUGUGCCACUAACUUGAAAGCUAAGUAUUUCCCUGACGGCGACCUGAUGAAUGCAAGUUUAAAAAAGGGAUCCUCCUUUACCUGGCAAAGCAUUAUGGCGGGCGUUGUUUCAUUGAAAAAUGGCUAUAUCUGGCGAGUUAGAAAUGGACAAUGUAUCGACAUCUGGAAAGAUGCAUGCCGAGUUGUGCUAAUAGAAAAAUCAUUACUCCUAGAAGAGGGAACCUCCUGUCAAAAGUUUCUUAUAGUAUUGACCCUGUCACAAAUUCUUGGGAUGAAGAUUUAG
rnacentral:rRNA from 1 species